GUCCACUGACGAACCUCUUGUCGGGCUGUCUGUGUGGGCCACUGAGCCACAGUGAUGGAGCUGAAGGCGUGAGGAG
ensembl:snoRNA